GCCGAAGGUGGGACAGAUGAUUGGGGUGAAGUCGUAACAAGGUAGCCGUAUCGGAAGGUGCGGCUGGAUCACCUCCUUUCUAAGGA
rnacentral:rRNA from 2 species